rnacentral:rRNA from 1 species
GAUAAACGCUGGCGGCGUGUCUAAGGCAUGCAAGUCGAAUGCCCCGCAGCAAUGCGGGACAUGGCAAACGGGAGAGUAACACAUUGGCAACUUACCUCGAGGACGAGGAUAAUCCCGCGAAAGCGGGGAUAAUACUCGAUAAAAGUGGGGGGACACAAGUCAUUCCUACUUAAAGCCGCAAGGCGCCUCAAGAGAGGCCUAUGUCCUAUCAGCUAGUUGGUGAGGUAACGGCCCACCAAGGCGAUGACGGGUAGCGGGUGUGAGAGCAUGACCCGCCUCACUGGGACUGAGACACUGCCCAGACUCCUACGGGAGGCAG